rnacentral:rRNA from 1 species
AACGAACGCUGGCGGCAGGCUUGACACAUGCAAGUCGAACGCCCCGCAAGGGGAGUGGCAGACGGGUGAGUAACGCGUGGGAACAUACCCUUUCCUGCGGAAUAGCUCUGGGAAACUGGAAUUAAUACCGCAUACGCCCUACGGGGGAAAGAUUUAUCGGGGAAGGAUUGGCCCGCGUUGGAUUAGCUAGUUGGUGGGGUAAGGCCUACCAAGGCGACGAUCCAUAGCUGGUCUGAGAGGAUGAUCAGCCACAUUGGGACUGAGACACGGCCCAAACUCCUACGGGAGGCAGCAGUGGGGAAUAUUGGACAAGGGGCGCAAGCCUGAUCCAGCCAUGCCGCGUGAGUGAUGAAGGCCUUAGGGUUGUAAAGCUCUUUCACCGAUGAAGAUAAUGACGGUAGUCGGAGAAGAAGCCCCGGCUAACUUCGUGCCAGCCGCCGCCGUAACAC